rnacentral:lncRNA from 1 species
GGCUUGGUGAAAACUGGGGUUCUGAAGCUUGUCUGUCUGUCUCUCCCUCUUGUCCACCUUUCUCAUUUUCUGUUAAUUUUUCUCAGUGGUAGGCAAGAAAAUCAGGAGUCUUGCCAGGUUUUGGAGAUAAAGAGGGACAGCUUUUACCUUAGGUGAUGUGCACCUCUUCAGUCUGGGAAGCAGAUGAUCCCUGGAGAGCACCAGCGUUUGUGAAAAGCAGAAAAUUAGCUUCCGUUCUCCUUCCUGCCUUUUGUGAUCUCGGGCAGUUACAGUGUUCAGAACCAGCACAUUACACAGAGUAUAGCAGUGUCUCCAACAAGAGGGCAAGUCCAGACCUGGGCCAUCUGCAGCUGUGGGACUCAUGUCUCUUGGCCAGCAUCUGGGAGCUCCAUAAACCAUCUGGCCCUGAAAGGAUGCCACCUGGAGUGGCAUCAACUGACUCUCCGACCUGCGGUGCUAAAUGCAGCUGUCGGGAAAUGAUUUCCCAGAGAGGACCAACCAACAGUGCUGGAGAGCCUUGUCCAUCACAGGGAAGAUGGAGCAGAACUGGGUGUGCGGACACCUUCGAAGAUACAAAUGCUAUGUUCAAGACCCUACGGAGACAGUUAAGUUCCCAGUACAUCCAAAUGCAGUCUGUGCCAGUGUCUGGAAUGUAUGGAGCUGGGGCCCAAAGGCCCACAAGUGGGUGUAGAUAAACAAGAAGGGAUGUGGAGCUGAGACCAUCCUUACAACUUCCCACGCCCCACCAGCACAGCCGCCUCUUGCAUGCAGUUUUCUCAGUGUCACAGCUCCCUGGACUGCAGGUGCCCAGGGCUCACAAUGGACCAG